ensembl:snoRNA SNORD115 Small nucleolar RNA SNORD115
GGGUCGAUGAUGAGAACCUUAUAUUGUCCUGAAGAGGGGUGAUGACUUAAAAAUGAUGCUCAAUAAGAUUACCCUGAAGCCC